AUUUUUAGAGCUGAGCGGUAAAGCGCUUGGCUUCCGAACCGGGGACCGGGGUUCGAAUCCUGGUGAAGACU
rnacentral:tRNA from 1 species